rnacentral:rRNA from 1 species
GACGAACGCUGGCGGCGUGCCUAACACAUGCAUGUCGAACGGAAAGGUCGUGCUUUUGUGGGCUGCUCGAGUGGCGAACGGGUGAGUUACACUUGAGUUACCUGUCCUUGACUGUGGGAUAACUUCAGGCAACUGGGGCUCAUACCGGCUAGGAGCUCCUGCUGCUUGGUGGGGGUUGGUUAGUUUCGGUGGUUGGGGAUGGACUCGCGGCUUAUCAGCUUGUUGGUGGGGUAGUGGCUUACCAAGGCUUUGACGGGUAGCCGGCCUGAGAGGGUGACCGGACACAUUGGGACUGAGAUACGGCCCAGACUCCUACGGGAGGGAACGGUGGGGAAUAUUGCACAAUGGGCGGAAGCAUGAUGCAGCAACGCCGCGUGGGGGAUGACGGCCUUCGGGUUGUAAAGCAAUUUCGCCUGUGACGAAGCGAGAGUGACGGUAAUGGGUAAAGAAGCACCGGCUAACUACGUG